AAGUAAUAUGUAUAAAUCUUUUUUCUUUUUAUUUCAGGGUUACAGAAUUGAUUGCUUUUCGCACCACAAAGCACAAGGACUUCCAAAUAACUGCCAGGAGGAUACGCAUAUUUAAAGAUAUCUUUCAAAGAAGACAUUUUAUUGUAUGUCUAUAUGUUUUACCAAGAGAUACACGAACCACCAAGAGACCACUACCGAAUUAAAGGAUAUGUGCAAGUCUUGCACGAGAUUUGGCAGAAAAUAUCAUCAACUCAAAACCAACUAGCACCACUUCUACCUGAACUACCGCCUACAAC